rnacentral:rRNA from 1 species
CCUACGGGAGGCUGCAGUCGAGAAUCAUUCACAAUGGGGGAAACCCUGAUGGUGCGAAGUCGCGUGGGGGAAUGAAGGUCUUCGGAUUGUAAACCCCUGUCAUGUAGGAGCAAAUUAAAAAGAUAGUACCACAAGAGAUAGAGACGGCUAACUAGGUGCCAGCAGCCGCGGUAAUACAGAGGUGUCAAGCGUUUUUCGGAAUCACUGGGCGUGAAGCGUGCGGAGGCGGUUUCGUAAGGCGGGUGUGAAAGGCUGGGGCUCAACCCGCGGACGGAACAUGAUACUGCGAGACUAGAGUACUGGAGGGGGAAGCGGAAUUCUCGGUGUAGCAGUGAAAUGCGUAGAUAUCGAGAGGAACACUCGUGGCGAAGGCGGGUUCCUGGACAUUAACUGACGCUGAGGCACGAAGGCCAGGGGAGCGAAAGGGAUUAGAUACCCUUGUAGUC